rnacentral:RNase_P_RNA from 1 species
AAAGAGAUGCGGACAGUCGCUUCACACNGGGAGUGUGAAGAGGAAAGUCCGGGCAACAUAGAGCGGCAUAUUUUCUAACGGAAAGCCGGGGGCGACCCCGGGGAUAAGUGACAGAAAACGACCGCCCUCGCGGGGUUUGGCCCGCGAGGGUAAGGGUGAAAAGGCGGGGUAAGAGCCCACCGGCUCCCAUGGCGACAUGGGAGGCCGCACAUCCUAUGCGUUGCAAGGCCAAAUAUACCGGCAGUCAAGGAUUGCUCGUCCAUUGCCGGGGGGUAGGCUGCUUGAGGCGGCGGGCAACCGUCGCAGUAGAUAAAUGACUGUCAGCGCUCAGCCUCGCGCGGGGCGCCACAUAACCCGGCUUAUAGCAUCUCUUCCGAU